rnacentral:rRNA from 1 species
GACGAACGCUGGCGGCGUGCUUAACACAUGCAAGUCGAGCGGUAAGGCUCCUUCGGGAGUCCACGAGCGGCGAACGGGUGAGUAACACGUGGGUAAUCUGCCCUUCACUUCGGGAUAACCACCGGAAACGGUGGCUAAUACCGAAUACGACCAGUCUUCGCAUGAGGUGCUGGUGGAAAGUCUUUUCGGUGAAGGAUGUGCUCGCGGCCUAUCAGCUUGUUGGUGGGGUAAUGGCCUACCAAGGCUUCGACGGGUAGCCGGCCUGAGAGGGUGACCGGCCACACUGGGACUGAGACACGGCCCAGACUCCUACGGGAGGCAGCAGUGGGGAAUAUUGGACAAUGGGCGAAAGCCUGAUCCAGCAACGCCGCGUGAGGGAUGACGGCCUUCGGGUUGUAAACCUCGUUCAGUACCGACGAAGCGCCCUGUCGGGUGGUGACGGUAGGUACAGAAGAAGGACCGGCCAACUACGUG